rnacentral:rRNA from 1 species
GACGAACGCUGGCGGCGUGCCUAAUACAUGCAAGUAGGACGCAGUUGCCAACGUGUGAGUAACGCCUAUGUAACUACCUCUUAGAGGGGGAUAACUAUUGUAAACGAUAGCUAUUACCGCAUACUAGUUGAUGGACCUGCGUUGUAUUAGCUAGUAGGUAGGGUAAUGGCCUACCUAGGCAAGGAUACAUAGCCGACCUGAGAGGUGUAUCGGCCACACUGGGACUGAGACACGGCCCAGACUCCUACGGGAGGCAUCAGUAGGGAAUCUGCGGCAAUGGGGGGAACCCUGACCGAGCAACGCCGCGUGAGUGAAGAAGGUUUUCGGAUCGUAAAGCUCUGUUGUUAAGGAAGCGGUACUUAAAGAGAAAGGGACGGCUAACUACGUGCCAGCAGCCGCGGUAAUUC